rnacentral:rRNA from 1 species
UACGGGGGGGGCAAGCGUUGUUCGGAAUUACUGGGCGUAAAGGGCUCGUAGGCGGCCAACUAAGUCAGACGUGAAAUCCCUCGGCUUAACCGGGGAACUGCAUCUGAUACUGGAUGGCUUGAGUUCGGGAGAGGGAUGUGGAAUUCCAGGUGUAGCGGUGAAAUGCGUAGAUAUCAGGAGGAACACCGGUGGCGAAGGCGGGUCUCUGGGCCGAUACUGACGCUGAGGAGCGAAAGCGUGGGGAGCGAACAGG